UACGGGGGUGGCAAGCGUUGUUCGGAAUUACUGGGCGUAAAGGGCGCGUAGGCGGGGAGGUAAGUCGGGUGUGAAAUCCCUCGGCUCAACCGAGGAACUGCGCCCGAGACUGCCUUUCUUGAGUCCCGGAGAGGAAGGUGGAAUUCCCGGUGUAGCGGUGAAAUGUGUAGAGAUCGGGAGGAACACCGGUGGCGAAGGCGGCCUUCUGGACGGUGACUGACGCUGAGGCGCGAAAGCGUGGGGGGCAAACGGG
rnacentral:rRNA from 1 species